rnacentral:lncRNA from 1 species
ACGCCCUUCAACACGCCCAACACGCCCUUCCUCCGUCACAGCAGAAUAUGGAAUAUCCGUCAUAAAACAUUGCUUUAAAAAAGUUGAGUGAAUGUUCUGUUAUAGUAGAGGAUACUUGUCUUCAUGAGAAGAUGGCUUCAUUGUCUGUAGGUGAGUGUAGCUGGUGCAUGAAGUCAGGUACAGGAGAGCAGAAUGAAACAAGCAACACACAGCCAGCUCACGGGUCUAUCGGUGCCAUAAGCACAGGGAAGAAGCACAGAUAAGACAAGAACGCAAGAAGCACAGAUAAGACAAGAACGCAAGAAGCACAGAUAAGACAAGUGAAAACAAAUGAUCUCACUGGGGAUGACUUGGGCACAGAGACAUGUUUUUUUUUUUUGUCCUACCAGAUCGGCAAGAAAGUUCUAGUGUAUUCCUUCUGUCCUUCGACUGAUGUUGAAUGUAGACAAAGAGAAAAAAAUCUUUGAUAUGGAUGAAAAUUGAUUUUCCUAGUGUUUACUCUUUACAAACAUUUAACUCAGUAGGUUAAUACAUUUUUAAUGUACUGUAGAUAUUUUGAAAAUGUUCCAUGCAACAUCUUCCAGCAUUUAAUCUCAAGGGUAUUUAAUCUCAACAGCUAUAAACUAAAUGUUAUCACACAACUCUAACCAUUUUGUUUGGUUUUAUGGCUGUCAUAUAACCAAGGUCAGUGGUACUGUAUGACAAGUUAUGUAAUUAAUUGGUUCUACAGAGAGAACAAGGGAGACAAUGGCUGUGUUUCAUUCCAGGAAGAUGUUCCCUCCCUUAUGCUCUCAUCACCUCCUCACAGACUGGAUAUGCCAAAACAAUGUGGCAGGUUGUCUCAGAUCUGUGAUGUGGAGUGAAGAACGAGGGCAUAGUGAAGUGAAGAUUUUCCUGGAAUGAAACACAGCCAACACCUGCAUGGAACACUGACAAUCUAAACAUACUUUGUUUACAUACUUCAGUACUAGUUGAGUUAAACUCUAAUGGAAAGGAUGUAUGAUGUCUACAAGGACCAUAUAUAUAUAUAUAUAUAUAUAUAUAUAUAUAUAUGAGAGAGAUUUAAUUUUGGAACAUGCAGACACAUCACAUUUUCAAAAGCCACACCAAUCCUACCUCAUAACCGACAACCUUUAGACACAGCUGAACAGACUGUAAAUCACUGUGGAAUAUCCAUCAUAAAAAUCAAAUUCAGUUUUACGUUCACGUUCUGUCAUUUGAGUAGAGGAUACUGACUUCUAGACUGUGGAGUCCUUGACUAGAGGAACUAGAUUCAGAUGGUUAUUACCUGCGUUUUUUUAGAAGUCUGGGAUGGACUACAAAUAUUUAAUUUUCAGAAGGCUGAAAAAUAGGCUUUUUAGGUGAGCUCUGAUGCCGCCCUAUGAUAAGUAGUUCCCACUUUGUCAAAAGCAGGGACACAAAAGAAUGAUCUUGUCCAUUCCCAGCGCCUCUCCAGGGUGCUGUUAGAGAGACACAUCUCUGCAGCGCUCCACCAACGUUACGUCGAAAAAGAUUUCUAACAUAAAUCAUGUAGCAGAUAGAGGAUAUGGUAGAAAGAGUAUGUGGCCUUUUCUGUAGCCUACAGGCUGGAGAUAAAAAUGUAUGACAAUGUAAUGAGACAGAAACUUUUUACAUCAUGCAGGUUUCUCCGAUCAAAUAGGCUAACCUAAAUGGCGCCCAAUCAAAUAAAUGUGCUGACAUGUUAACAAACAACAUAUCCUAAUAACAGGACAGGUCAAAGUAAAAUGGACAAUAUGGAAUGGACAAUUAGGCUACUCACAACUGCUGUGUACGAGCUUCAUCUCGUGGGCUAAAUUGUCAUGAUCAGUGGUUUCAAGUUUGUAUCUGUACAUUUUUUACGAGCUGAUCAUAGUGAAAAAUAAAAUACUUCUGCAUUUCCCACUGUGUAAACACAUUACAAAUAGGCUUGUGAUAAAUCCAGAUAAAGUUAGAUAACUGAUAUUCAGAGAUGAAAUAGCCAAAUUGAUUAGUCACAGGAAUCAGGACUAAUAAAGCCAAUGCAAUUGCCUGUUUUACAAACGGUGGGCCUAUCACAUGGAUGGGAAUACAUAAAGUUCCAUUGCAGGAGACAUGGUAGGCUACACCCCAGUAAGCAGCAGGGGCGGCAGGGUAGCCUAGUGGUUAGAGCGUUGUAACCGAAAGGUUGCAAGUUCAAAUCACCUAGCUGACAAGGUAUUAAUGUGUCAUUCUGCCCCUGAACAGGCAGUUAACCUGCUGUUCCUAGGCCGUCAUUGAAAAUAAGAAUUUGUUCCUAACUGACUUGCCUAGAAAAAUUAAAGCACGGACUGACGCUGAGGUCUUUUGUUUGUAUCCAGACCGGCCAUUGUUUUUGGGGGUGUUUUAGAAAUGGUAGGCCUACCAUUCCUAAAAUUACAUUUCAGGCAACACUGUCCUCUAGGGCUUGAUUGGUGUCACACUAACACAUCUGAAACCAAUAAUCAACUAAUCAUGAUCUUCAGUUUAGAAUGCAAUUAGUUUAAUCAGCUGUGUUGAUUAGGGACGGGAAAAAGUGUGACACCACUCCGGCCCCCGAGGAUUGUAGAUUUUGGGUUCCAUGUAGAACCUUCUGUGGAAAGGGUUUUACAUUAACCCAAAUAGGUUUGUACCUGGAACCAAAAGGGUUCUACCUGGAAAAAGGUUCUUCAAAGGGUUCUCCUUUGGGAACAGCUGAAAACACUUUUAGGUUCUAGAUGGCACUUUUUUUUUUUUUAAAGCGUGUACUACUACGACUACAAUUAACAAAAAUAAUAAUAAUAAUGAAUGGGAUUUAUAUAGUGCUUUUCAAGGACCCAAAGUCGCUUCACAUUAGUUUUAAAGAAACGCAAGAAACCAAAAAUCUAAACAAAAACAGUGCCCAAAUAAACAGAAGAAAAACAGAAAGUAUGAGUGCAUGAGUGAGUGUGUGGAUAGUGGGGGGGGGGGGGGGGGGUUAUGGGUAGGCCAUGGUGAAGAGAUGGGUCUUGAGGUGGGACUGAAAUAGAGCGAUGGAGGGAGUUUCAGACUCUGGGUGCAACGCUGGAGAAGGCGCUGUUUUCAACGCUCCGGAGCUUGAUUCU